rnacentral:rRNA from 1 species
GAAAUGUCGGAGUAUUGGGCGUAUAGAGAGCGCAGGCGGUUUCUUAAGUCUGAUGUGAAAGCCCCCGGCUCAACCGGAGAAGGGCAUUGGAAACUGGGUGACUUGAGUGCAGAAGAGGAGAGUGGAAUUCCAUGUGUAGCGGUGAAAUGCGUAGAUAUAUGGAGGAACACCAGUGGCGAAGGCGGCUCUCUGGUCUGUAACUGACGCUGAGGCUCGAAAGCGUGGGGAGCGAACAGGAUUAGAUACCCUGGUAGUCCACGCCGUAAACGAUGAGUGCUAAGUGUUGGAGGGUUUCCGCCCUUCAGUGCUGCAGCUAACGCAUUAAGCACUCCGCCUGGGGAGUACGACCGCAAGGUUGAAACUCAAAGGAAUUGACGGGGGCCCGCCCAAGCGGUGGAAGCAUGUGGUUUAUUUCGAAGCAUCGGCGAAGAACCUUACCAGGUCUUGACAUCUUUCGGACAACCUCUAGGAAAUAGAGCUGUUCCCUUUCGGGGACAAAUUGACAGGGGGUGCAUGGUUCGUCCGUCAGGCCUCGGGUCGGGAGAAGGUUGGGUUAAGUCCCGCAACGAGCGCAACCCUUAUUGUUAGUUGCCAUCAUUUAGUUGGGCACUCUAGCGAGAUGCCGGUGACAAACCGGAAGAAGUGGGGAUGACGUCAGAUCAUCAUGCCCCUUAUGACCUGGCUACACACGUGCUACAUUGGAAGUACAACGAGUCGCUAGAUCGCGAGGUCUGCAAUCUCUUAAGCUGCUCUCAGUUCGAAUGCAGCUGCAACUCGCUGCAUGAGCGGAUCGCUAGUAAUCGAGAUCAACAUGCGGUGAUCUCUCCCCCGGGUCUUA